GUCGUAUUAGUUAGUUGGUAGGGUAAUGGCCCACCAAGACGAUGAUGCGUAGCCGGGCUGAGAGGCUGAAUGGCCACAAGGGAACUGAGACACGGUUCCUACUCCUACGGGAGGCAGCAGUGAGGAAUUUUAGGCAAUGGGGGCAACCCUGACCAAGCAAUACUACGUGAAGGAGGAAGGUCUACGGAUUGUAAACUUCUUUACCUGAAUGUACUAGCCUUGUGCUUUGCAUUUGGGCGAAAAGCGACGACUAACUAUGUGCCAGCAGUCGCGGUAAGACAUAGGUCGCAAACGUUAUCCGGAAUUAUUGGGCGUAAAGGGUGCGUAGAUGGUAUAAUAAGUUAGUGGUGGGAAAUCGAGGCUCAACCUCGUGGAAGCUGGUAA
rnacentral:rRNA from 1 species